rnacentral:lncRNA from 10 species
UAGAGACAGAAUGUUGCUGUGCCACCUAGGCUGGAGUGCAGUGGCACAAUCACAGCGGACUGCAGCCUCAAAAUCCUGGCUCAAGCACUCCUCUUACCUCAGCCUCAUAAGUAGCUGGGACUGCAGGCUCCAAGAAAUGGAAUUUUAUUAAAAGAUGGAAGAGGAGGAUAUUUGAGAGAAGGGGAACUACCUAAUACUGAAAACUAAUACAGUCCAGGAUACAUAGAAGAUGAUCAAUAACACUUAUUCAAUCUAAAUUACCCUAUCAGCAAGUGGAGAAUUCUCUCUCGGGAGUGCUGUUUUCUUUCCUGCCAGUCAGCUCUGUCAGGUUGAAUAGAAAGCGAUAAAUAAAGAGGAAAAGAAUUCAUUUUGUGCCCUUGCUGCACUGUUGCUUUUUCCUGCUGCACCACCAGUAAUAGAAAACUAGGCUGUGAGCAUUUCAGUGCUAAUGCACUCCAGUGGCUUUUCUGCCUUGGCCUUCUAGCUUUCUCCUCAUUGCAUCACACUACUGAUUGGAGAAAAAUAUGCCAGUCUGUGCUGUGUUUCCCCAAACAACUUUUUUAUUUUGCAGGGUAGAAAGAACUGAUGAUAAUGGGCUCUAUAAAAAAGGGAUAAACAAAGGCAUUUUCAUCAAGGGCCUUCUUUCUAAAAGGCUUUCCAAAUAGCCUAUUUUAAAAAAUGAACAAACACCCAUAAACCCAUAGAACAAUAGUACACUAGACAUACAUUUAAAGAGCAUGUCUCCAUUAAAAACAGCUAUGUCAGAAACAGGCACCUGAGUUUCUGGGGAAAUAUACAUGAUAGAAAAAUCUUAAACCUGGCCAAGUUCUCCAAGUUGAUCUUCUUUGUUCUUGUAGGAUUUGAUGACAUUCAACCAUGUUCAUCUACUUUUCCAUCUUGUUCUACAGGUGGACUAUCUAUUUAUAUAUUUUUAAAAGACAGCCAGGAAAAAUUGAUUGAUUAAGAAAGGUUUUCUUAACCUUUAUUUGUGGUAAGAACAUUUAAGAUCUCUCUUAGAAAAUUUCAAGUAAAAACACAGUAUUGUUAACUCCAGUCACCAUAUUGUAUAUUAAAUUUAGAUCCCUAGAACUUACUCGUAUAUUAGAUUUAGAUCCCCAGAAUGUACUCAUCUUAUAACUGAAAGUUUAUACACUUUGACCAAUAUCUCCUUAUUUCCCCCACUCCCUUACCCCUGGCAAACACCAUGCUACUUUCUAUUUCUAUGUGUUUACCUUUUUUAGGUUCCCUAUAUAAGUGAUACCAUAUAGUGUUUGUUUUUCUGAUUUUUUUUAAAUGAAAGAGCUAGGGCCAACUUCCAUUCUUUGAUGUAAAGAUUAAAAACGGUGGAUAUAUUGUGGUAUGACCUAAGGCAUAGGCAGGGCUGCAAGCUAGAGGUGCCCAUGUGAUCAAGGACAAUGGUGCACAGGUCACUAGUCAUCACUAUUUCCUGUCAUCGGUGGGACUGCAAACUAGCACAUUUUUAGUGACAUUACUCAUAAGCACACUGUGGUUGUUUAAAUUGGUAGGGAUGAUAAUGAGAGUAAUUUGUGGGUAAUUAAGUCUCUCCUUUCCACCUGACAGUUAUGCAAACUAGAAGGAGAUGAACAGCAUAGUUAUGUGUUUCUUCAACUAAGAAACAUUUCAUAAGAAUUUUGAGUAAUGUGGGUAGGUGAUUAAAAUGUUAAAGUGGAAAAAGUUAGAAACUGUUAUGUUUUUAAAAAAGUUUUAUUGAGGUGUUAUUUACAUACCAUAAAGUUCACCCAUUUUAAGCAUACAAUUCAGUGAAUUUUAGUAUAUUUACAGAGUUGUACAAUCAUCACAAUCUAGUUUUAGAACAUUUCCAUUAUUCAAAAAAAAGUCAUUUGUGUCCAUUUACAGUUACUCCCGAUUUCCACCUCCAGUCCUAGGCAGCCACUAAUCUACUUUCUGUCUCUAUAUACGGUUUUUAUCUUUCCGGGACAUUUCAUUUAAAUAAAAUCAUACAGUGGG